rnacentral:piRNA from 1 species
UGUUGUUGGGAGAUUUCUGUUGCA